UGAAAACUGGGCGGGUUUCCGUCCCUACACUGAUCAUCUCACGGUGCAGUCCCAGUCCGAACAUGCCGAGUGCUGGCGUCUGUGCUGCCUGCUAUUGUGUCGGAAGUGCUCGAUCAGUGAUCCCAACAGUGCCCUCGUGGUCCUGCGAAGCUCGGGAUGGGGGGAGCCGGGGCCAAGCGAGCUGCAGCAGGAGCACGCUCUGCCCAGAGUCUCUGCGUCACCAGAACAGCCCCAGCGCGUGGGACUGAUACCCAGGAGCAACCGGGGGCCAUGAGAGGGAGCGAGUUGGUGCGGUGGAGGAGAGCUUAUUGGUUUCAGCGGGAGCAGAGAACGGUUGGAGCAGCCGCCGCACGGCCGGCCCAGACGCACACCAGCGCACUGUUGACUGAGCAGCCGCCGCUGACAGAGAGAAGUGAUAAAGCUCUUGGAGAUAUUCCUGUCUCAUCUGUCUCAGGGGACGUGUCCAUGAGGAUGUGAGGAAGAUGUUGCAGUCAGAGGUUGCACAAGUCACUGCCCCAGAGCAGGCUCGGCGUUCCGAGCUGGUGCUCGUGGGUUCCAGCUGAGCAGCUGUAGGAGGGAUCACCCCGAGAGCCCGGGCGUCGCGCUGCCAGCCUCUGCCUAACAGGCGCCUCGGAAGUGCAUCCUGGGAGCUGUGCAUCCUUCCUGAGCAGCAGCUGUUUCUCUCCAGUGGUCAUUGCUCUGAGGCUGUACCUGUCCACAGAUUAAAGGUCCUUGGCUGAUGGUCCUGGGAACAGCAAGGAACACGUAGCAAAGGUAGCGUUUCAGCUCGACAGACCCUAUAAAUUUCCAGCAUAUGUUUUUGUUUUAUGCUCUAAGUGAAGGGAGGACAAAUCUUUAGUUCUCCCUUGCGGCCGACCCUGAGCUGCUCUUGCAUGGGCGGGGUCUGUCUAGGACACCCCUGAUGGGGUGAAGGUUGUUGGAGAUCCUGGGUGGUUUUGGUCUGACAGGUUUGCCUUUAAAAAACGAUUUUCCACGGGCAGGAAAUGCAAGCUGCAAGGGCAUGCCAGGAGGGGAUGUUUGGAUCUUUCUGGUCUGACAUCUGAAAUAACUCGCCGUUAGCCUUAGCAACGAACGCUCUGGCGCGGGUGUCGGUGUGGGCUCCCCCCGCACGGCCACCCGCCCCCCUCGCAGCCGCGCGAUUCAUGAGCUUUCACAUCUCUGUCAUUAGCCCGUUAAUCCAACACCUUGCUCUGGCCUCGCACCACAGUGAGGAUUUAUGGUUCUUACAGACCGAUUUUGUUAUCCUGGGGGGAAAAUCAGCAUCUUGUUAUGGAUAAAAUGACAAUAAAUGAAACGGCCAUUAAUUUACGAUCCUGCCACACAGUGGCACUCAAACAGAUUCCCAUUAGUGGCUUGUUAUUGUCACCUCCCAUGCAGGCGAGCAGCGGGUGGUGGGAAGAGCCGCACACACCCGGGGAGGUGGUGGCUGCCGGGUGUGUGUGACCCCGGCCUGGGUGGGGGAGCAGCAGGAGCCGUCGGGGUCGGGGCACCCACCGCCUUUCUGGAGGAAGAGGUGUCUCAGCAGCAGGCGCUGAUGCUCCCCUCCCCGCGGGAUUUUUAAUUCAGAGCCUUCUUUUGCAAAGCCAAAGAACAAGGCGAGGCUGUGCUGGCCGCGCCGUCCGGGAGCAGGCGCUGGGGCACGUUGGU